rnacentral:lncRNA from 1 species
CGACUUAUGUUCGCUCGUGCGGUAUUGAGAAGCCUACGGGGUCGAGUGGGACAGACACAUUCCAAGAGUAGGGAUGUUGGGCUACCACAGGCACUUAGGCGGCACAAGCUGGACUACCUUUGGUAGGUCCUUAAUUGGAAAUGGAAAUCGAUACGGUGUUGAGAAUGGAUAAUCACUACUAGAUAGGUUUAGUAGUUGAGUUACAUUUAUAUGCUUUUAGCAUAGUGUUGGGACAUGUAGCAUACUUGACAGUUACCUAUUUCAUCACAGUAUGCUUGGUUGCCAUGAUAGAGCUUAUACAUCAUGUAUGAAUAAAGGGUUGUAACCGUUAACAAUUGCCAUUGGUUGCUUUUCCUUAUGAUAGAGUAGAUGUACAACAGUUUGACAUUGUGCUUAUGAGGGAUAUAGUAGUAUAGCAUUUUACUUAUGCUCUCUCUUUCAGCAGUUUAUUACAUGCUCCUUUUUAUUGCUUAUUAUUAUUAUCGUUGCUUACCCUUAUUUUUGGGGCCUAGUGGAGCAGGAGCUGAGGUCAGUAAUUGCCCACUGGGGACUAUAAAUUAUAGUUCUCACGCCCUCUUUUUCUCGAUGUUUUUCAGAGCCUUCCACUCAGGGUGAGGCCAGGGAUCGCGGAAAGGGUAUCGCCUCGGGCUAGCGCGCUUACCGAGGGAUCGUUCGAUAGGUGGUCUACCUCUCGUGUUUUCUUUUGUGAGGGGUUGAGAGUUGUACCCGUAUUUGUGUAGAGACCACCAUUUUUGUACUAGAGACAGAUAUUGUACUACUUAUGGUUAUCUUUGUUGACUAGCUUUAUUUCUUUUCUUUGGUGUAGAUGAUAGAACUUUACUUGCUCUGAUAUCAUUAGUUGCUAGUUAUUUCACUUCUUUUAUUUGUUCUAUCUCUUGCUUUUACUUCCGCUUUUCUUGUAGACGCCUUAUAUGUGUAGACAUAUGGCGGGUCUGGGCACGCUACCGGGGGGGCCUCCGCCGGUCCCAGGGCGUGACAGCUAGAAUCCUUCCAAUCCAAGCCUAAGGAAGGUUCUAAACCAAAGAAUCUAGCUCCAAAAGCCAUAGAUUCGAAACGCCCAAAAUAAGCCCUAAAACCUCAUUUUAGGGUUCCAUCUACCAUAAGGCAUCACAACCAAAAUCUAAAGGGAGAGAAAUAGCUACCAACCUCUUAGAAGCUUCCAACAAGAUUCAAAGUCCCCAAGGUCCAAGAAUCUCUCAUCCAACAAGCUCCAAACCCAAGCUUUAAAGGUGGAAAUGCCUCGAAUAACACAAAAAGAGCAAAAGAGGGGUUUAAUCUCUUAAAAACCCAAACAAAAUCAAAAAAAUCAAAGGGGAGAGUGUGGAGGGCUCCCUUACCUCUCCUCUUGCUGUUCGUGAGCUCAGGGGAGGCCUCAAGGGCGUGGGGGAUACAUAUAGAAGUCCACAAUUGCGAAAAACCUCCUGCAGUUCAAACUGCUCAGAUUCUGCCAAAGUGUACCGGUACACGGGAAAGCGUACCGGUACACAUCCUACGAAAAGGCAAACCCGAGGCUCGGGUUUGAAAU